UUAUUUAUACAAAUCAACCAUAAAUCACAGAUGUGUAAGGUUGUCUGUAUUUUGAUUAUUUUGCAAUCUACUUAUUUAUACAAAUCAAACAAUAAAUUUAUUUACAAGUUUUCUACAAAUAUGAGAACAACAAACUAAUCUAUUUGCUGACAAAAAGAAAAGAAAAGAAAAUAAAAGAAACAUGCAUGUCUAUAUUGUUUGCCAAAAAAAAAGCAUACAUGUCAAUAUUAUUACAAUAUAAAAAUACUUUUUCGAAAGUUAUAAAGACACAGUCUUAAACUUACAUAACUACAAUACAAAACUGUGUUUAAUUUUAUAUCGCAAUCUGCUAAUAAGUUGUAUAACGAUUUUUUUUUCAUAAACUAAACCUAGGAAAAGUUCAAAAAAAAAAAGAAAAAAACUAAAGCUAGGAGACUUGUGAUAUUAUGUGAUACGAGCCGCAAAGAAACAUCAUGUUAAUUUUAAUUAGUUCUGC
rnacentral:lncRNA from 1 species